GGGGGGAAUCCCCUCUUCGGGAGGCGACGGCAGAGAAGGCGUCUCGAGUGCGGGAAACAAGAUAUACGAUGGGCAUUAAAGAAUUGCUUGCAAAGGAUUACUAUAGCCCUGUUGCAGAGAGAGGAAAGACAAGGCAUCAGCAAUAUGUUCUCUGCUUUUCAUAUGACCCUGAAUAAUCACAGAUCAUUGUAACGGAUCGGGUCGGAGUUCAAGCCAGUGAGUGGGCCGUGGCUGGACAGGAACAGCGGUCAAGUAUGGAAGGCCCCCACGACACUAGCAAGGAAAGUGACAGAAGAAAUGCACCUUCAGGAAGUUUCAGAAGAUGAAAUAUCAGGAGAAGAACUUUUGAUGCAGAUGUUUCUGUCACCAUAUAUAUGUGUGAUCCCAAACUCAAGAUCAUUUAUGUAUUCAUAUAUAUGGAAAGAAUGCAGUGACUCACAGAAUAUAUGGCUCAGUGUCUCUCUGUCAUAGUUGUAAUGAUUUUCUCACAAGAAGUUAGGAUUCUGAAUUAUAAUAAAGCUGAAAUAAUACAAAUAUUGAUGCUGUCACAAGAAAAGAUACUUGAGAUAUGGUGCAGGCAUUAUACAGACCUGUUUUAUUAUCUGCAAAGUGUGAAGUAUGAUGUAGGAUUCAAAUAAGGUAAGAAUGCUGUUGUAGAAUUCUCCCUGGGCUGUGUAUAUUUCUUAAUCUUUGGUGCCUUUCCUAAGUAUGAUCUUUGUUAUACUUGUGUCUGUUGGCAAAGGCAAGACUGGUAAAAUAAAUUGUUAUAUGCAAACAAGUUGUGUUGUCUAGAGUCUUGAAAUAAUUCUGCUGUGAUAAGCAUUUGGCUGUAAGAAAGAGCAUAUUACCAUAUGCAUUUUUAGCCUUUAAGGAUAUUACUAAAUACUCUAGUCAAAAAUAAUAUCAUAGUAAUGAUGAAAAUGUAUGAUAGAGGAGAUUUAGAUAUUAUUUUGUAUAAUUAUUAUUUUGGUGUGCACAUCGGACUUGGAGAAUUAGGAAGGAAAGCUUUUGCCUUGUCCUUUGGGUAAGGCAGGAUAUUAGAUAUAUGCUGACAGAGCACUUUGUUGAUAGUCACUGUAUUCUCUAGUUCUUUCACUUGUGUUUUCAAAAAUCAAAUAUUGUACAUUUUACUGCUAUGGACUGUUCAGAUUUAAAUAAAGAAAUUGAAUUGAAUAUUAGUCUGUAUUCAGUUAGGAAAUGUGCAUGUUGUCAGUAAGAAAAUGUAGAAAUUAUGGUAUAAAGUUGUAGUAUUCAUAUAUUUUGAUGCAUAUUUUUGUAUAAGCAUUGGUCAGUAAUGAACCAGAUAGUGCAUAUUGGAUUGUGUCAGAUGUAGGAAAGAUAUGAAUGAGAAUGAAUAUCUUCACAAUACAAGAUAUGCAUUUGAAAAGUUUCAAUAAUAUCAUGUAUAUCUGACAAAGAUAUAAUCAAAACUGGUCAGAUAGAUCUCGUUUUGUGAAGAUAUGCAUUCCCUUUUCAAGCAUAUUAUAUAUUUUGUCAGAAACAUUAUGUGCCUGAACAUAUUAUUCAGGUCUUACAUAAUUUUCACUUGAAAGAAUUUCUUUUUCAAUAGAGGAUGGACCAGUAAGUGAAAUAAAGAUGGAAUUUUUUAAAAUAUAUAUUUGAAAGAUUAUCUUCUCCUUCUCAGAAAAAAAAAUAUAAACACACACACACACACACACACACACACACACACACACACACACACACACACACACACACACACACACACACACACACACACACACACACACACAUAUAUCCAGAUCCACCAUGGUAUGACCUUUCCCAUAAAUUAAUAACAAAUUUCGUGGGCAACUUCACAAAAGACCUACCUCAUGAAAUAACUAAAAUGCAAUUUCAAAUGUUAAGAAACAAAAUAUGAAAACCACCAAAAGAUAUUCUCAGAUGCAUAAAAAUAAACCCAAUCAACACCAGCAGCAAUCUAUAUCGAACAAAACAAACUCACACACACACACAGACACACACACACACACACACACACACACACACACACAUUUAUAUAUAUACAGGAGAUCCUCGACCUACAUUGUCCUGAACUUUAAUCACCUGUAAAGAAUAUACAGAUUCAUUUGAGAAUUUGAAGAGUGUUCUCAUUUUUUAUGUUUAUUAUUAUUAUUUUUUUAUUAGUUUCAUUUUGCUUUACUGUAAGUAUGUUUUCCCUCUCAUUUUCCAAUGACCUUAUUCUGUUAUUAGAUAUAUGUGGAUGCUUUAGAUUAGGUAGUGACUUAGGUUGUUGUAAUUCCGACUUGCAAGGAAAAUCCCCUCACAUUGGACCGUAGCAAUGGAUCUCCAGCAUAGCUCAAAGACCCACUGUAUGUAUGUAUAAAUAUAAAUAUAUAUAUAUGUAUAUAUAUAUAUAUGUAUUUAUAUAUAUAUACAUAUAAACAUACAUAUACAUAAACACACA
rnacentral:lncRNA from 1 species